rnacentral:rRNA from 1 species
CCUACGGGAGGCAGCAGUGAGGAAUAUUCGUCAAUGGGCGCGAGCCUGAACCAGCCAAGUAGCGUGAAGGAUGACUGCUCUACGGGUGGUAAACUUCUUUUAUAAAGGAGUAAAGGGAGGCACGUGUGCCUUUUUGUAUGUACCAUAUGAAUAAGGAACGGCUAACUCCGUGCCAGCAGCCGCGGUAAUACGGAGGAUCCGAGCGUUAUCCGGAUUUAUUGGGUUUAAAGGGAGCGUAGGUGGAUUGUUAAGUCAGUUGUGAAAGUUUGCGGCUAAACCGUAAAAUUGCAGUUGAAACUGGCAGUCUUGAGUACAGUAGAGGUGGGCGGAAUUCGUGGUGUAGCGGUGAAAUGCUUAGAUAUCACGAAGAACUCCGAUUGCGAAGGCAGCUCACUGGACUGCAACUGACACUGAGGCUCGAAAGUGUGGGUAUCAAACAGGAUUAGAUACCCCGGUAGUC